CAGCCGCCGCGGGAAUACAGAGGGUGCGAGCGUUAAUCGGAUUUACUGGGCGUAAAGCGUGCGUAGGCGGCUUUUUAAGUCGGAUGUGAAAUCCCUGAGCUUAACUUAGGAAUUGCAUUCGAUACUGGGAAGCUAGAGUAUGGGAGAGGAUGGUAGAAUUCCAGGUGUAGCGGUUAAAUGCGUAGAGAUCUGGAGGAAUACCGAUGGCGAAGGCAGCCAUCUGGCCUAAUACUGACGCUGAGGUACGAAAGCAUGGGGAGCAAACAGGAUUAGAUACCCCAGUAGUCCCUGUCUCUUAUAC
rnacentral:rRNA from 1 species